AAAAUAAUACGGCAAACUUACCGAAAAGUAAGGACGCAAAGCUAGAGGGCCUAAAGGCGUACGCUCAUGGCAGCCAGUUGCAAAU
rnacentral:ncRNA from 1 species